UGAACAUAUCACAUUCCUCAAGUUAAUUUCAUGUGAAACCAAAAAGAAACCCUAAACAUUCUUUACAAACCAAAUCCACGAAGAGUUCUUCCUUGCCUCUUGAGGGCAUGGAACUAAUCCCCCUUCACUCAACUCAUGAUCCAUCAAAUUCAUGGUCGAUUCUUCACCAGCUAACAGCAACAACUUGUCCUGGAAUGAUUAUUCAUCUCAAUAAAAACCCCCGAUUUACUUUGUUUACUGCAUCUGACUUUAAUUGGUUCCAUUAACAAACCCUAAGCAGUAGCACCACUUAUCACAGCAAGUUCUAUCCAUGGAGAUGGAGCGGAGAUUUAACUAUGUGGGUAGUUUUGAGGAUGAUCUUGAGCCAAUUUCCAGUGAUACUGCAAUUUUGAGGACGAUUAUGAACCAAUUUCCAGUGAUACUGAAUCAUGUAAGGGCAAUUUUGAGGAUGAUUACGAACCAAUUUCCAGUGAUACUGAAUCAUGUAAGGGUAAUUUUGAGGAUGAUUAUGAACCAAUUUCCAGUGAUGCUGGAUCACUUAACAGUGAGAAGACUACACUCUUUGUAGAAAAGACUCAACUUUUAUGUGAUAUUGAAUCACUUAAAAGUGAGAAGACUGUAGUGGUUACUGAUAUUUGUUCGCGCAAUAAGAGGAAGAUCGUCUUAGAAACUGAUAUUGAAUCAGAUAAAAGGAAGAAGAGUGAAUUGGGAAGGGAAGUUGAGUUGUGCAGCAAAGAGAAGGGAAAAUUCCAAAGUGAUGUUGAGUCACUUAAGAAAGAGAAAUCUAAGCUGAGAAGUGAUGUCGACCAACUUGAUAAAGACAAAUGUUGACUAAAAAGUGGGAUUAGAAAUGGAAUUGAGAUUAUGAACUCAAAGAAGAAUGUACUUGGAAAGGGUAUUGAAUCACUCGACGGCGAAAACAACAAACUAGGAAGUAAAUUAGAAUUGAUGAACAGGGAGAAGGCUAUCUUAGCAAGUGAGAAUUGAGAACUGACAUUGAGUUACUUAACCAAGAGAAGGGUAGAUUGCAAACUGGUGUUGCAUUUCUCAAGGAAGAAAAGGAUACAUUACACCAAGAUCUCAGUGAAGAGAAGGAUGAAUUUAUUUGUGGCGCAAUACAUGAAAUUAAUGAAUCUAUUCCUGAACGAGAAAAGGCAUUAACUGAGAAUGAAAAAGUGGUUGCCAGGGAACGAUUUUACAUUGAAGAGUUUUUGAAAGCCCUACUAGAACUUAUCGAGCAAAUGGCGUCAAAAAAGGUAACCAGAAAUCCGGUGAUUGGAGUAAAAGAGAACACGAGAGGAGAUCCUAAGUUGUGGAAUUUUAGAGAGAAGAAGAGAGCCACGCUGAAAGAAGCGAUUAGUUUUCAAUUUAAUCGUACAGCUAAGCAAAAGUGACCAACUUCCACACCAGCCUUGUGCAAGUAUUCCUUUGACCGGGCUAAGGAUUUUCAGCUGAAAAGUAAGAAUGUAGUAAUGUCUUAUCUUUUAAGGUUUUCUGAGUACAUUAGGGGGAGGGAUGCUAACAUAAUACAAAAUUUCAGAUGUGUGUAAAAAGAGUUACGUGAUGGGAUAAUGAUACAUUGGAAAGGAUAGAGUAGAGAUGUUAAUGGUCUGCUCAUGAUGCGAUGCUGAUCUUCAAACUUGUAAAUGUUUUUGAAUUUCAAAUGAAAAAUUCGCCCUUUUCAGAAGAUACAUCUUCUUUUUCAAGCUGGGGUGUGCUUAUUCAGUUGUUUGUUGUUACCUGUACCAAUAUUAGCCUUGGUUGUAGUUUCGUUUUCGAUCCUCAUUAUCCAGCAGUUAAGGUUAGCUUUCAUGGUUUAGGGUGUGGGCAGCAUAUACUAGUACUUGUAUUAGCAUCUGAUGCACUACUUAAGUCUGAUAUAUUCUCCUUUUCCUUUUCCUCUUGCUGUUUGUUAUGUGUUUUUCUUUUAGUGGUACAGAUGAUCUCUAUUCAGGAAGAGGAAAGGAGAAUUUUGUUUAGGAAUGAUUACCUUUCAUCGGUUUCUUUGUAUGUCUAUACAGGAAAAAAAGAAAGGGAGAAUUUUGCUUCGGA